CUACGGAGGGUGCAAGCGUUGUUCGGAAUCACUGGGCGUAAAGGGCGCGCAGGCGGUUUGGUAAGUCAGAUGUGAAAGCCCAUGGCUCAACCAUGGAAGUGCAUUUGAAACUGUCAGACUUGAGUACUAGAGGGGAAAGUGGAAUUCCCGGUGUAGAGGUGAAAUUCGCAGAUAUCGGGAGGAAUACCGGUGGCGAAGGCGACUUUCUGGCUAGAUACUGACGCUGAGGCGCGAAAGCGUGGGGAGCAAACAGGAUUAGAAACCCCAGUAGUCC
rnacentral:rRNA from 1 species